GACGAACGCUGGCGGCGUGCUUAACACAUGCAAGUCGAACGGAAAGGCCCUGCUUGCAGGGUACUCGAGUGGCGAACGGGUGAGUAACACGUGGGUGAUCUGCCCUGCACUUCGGGAUAAGCCUGGGAAACUGGGUCUAAUACCGGAUAUGACCUUCCAUGUAGUGUGGGGGGUGGAAAGAUUUAUCGGUGUGGGAUGAGCCCGCGGCCUAUCAGCUUGUUGGUGGGGUAAUGGCCUACCAAGGCGUCGACGGGUAGCCGGCCUGAGAGGGUGGACGGCCAACAUGGGGCGAGAGUAGCGCCCGGGCCCCAAGGGGGGGCAAGGGGGGGGGAAUGGAGAAAAAGGGGGGGAGGCUUUGGGCAGCGCCCCGGGGGGGGGAAGGGCGGCUUGGGGGUUAUAAACCUUUUCCGACGGGAAAGAAGCUGCGGGGAGGGAACUAAUAAAAAAGGCACGGCUAAACUAGGG
rnacentral:rRNA from 1 species